AUUGAACGCUGGCGGCAGGCCUAACACAUGCAAGUCGAGCGGAUGAGUGGAGCUUGCUACCUAACCUAGCGGCGGACGGGUGAGUAAUGCUUAGGAAUCUGCCUAUUAGUGGGGGAUAACGCGGGGAAACUCGCGCUAAUACCGCAUACGUCCUACGGGAGAAAGCGGGGGCUCUUCGGACCUCGCGCUAACAGAUGAGCCUAGGUCGGAUUAGCUAGUUGGUGGGGUAAUGGCCCACCAAGGCGACGAUCCGUAACUGGUCUGAGAGGAUGAUCAGUCACACUGGAACUGAGACACGGUCCAGACUCCUACGGGAGGCAGCAGUGGGGAAUAUUGGACAAUGGGCGAAAGCCUGAUCCAGCCAUGCCGCGUGUGUGAAGAAGGUCUUCGGAUUGUAAAGCACUUUAAGUCGGGAGGAAGGGCUGUAGGCUAAUACCUUGCAGUUUUGACGUUACCGACAGAACAAGCACCGGCUAACUUCGUGCCAGCCGCCGCCGUAAUAC
rnacentral:rRNA from 1 species